CAUUCACGAGAGCAGUGCAGAGUCGCUUGGAUAAUAUGAACCGCAGAUGCUGGAGAAUUCGAGAUAACACGGUGCAGAGCUGGAUGAAAACAACAGGUCAAGCAGCAUCAGAAGAGCGGGAAAGCUGACGUUUCAGGCCUUGAUCCAUUGCUGAGACCAAGAUUUGUGCAAUUGAGAUACCAGCGAUCGUUGCCAAAGCCCUGUUGCCUUUGGAGAAGGUGAUGUUUGACUUUCGUGUCCUGCUGCAGUUCAUAUGAUGAAGAUACUCCCACAAUGCGGUCAUUUGAGAAGUUACAGAUCAUUCAUCUAGCAAUACUGAAGAGCUGAUGGUAUUUCCACAAUUUUACUUCUGCACUGUUCUUAGUCUUUCAGAGGGUUCGAAGGGUUGAGUUACAGAUCUAUACAAUGCCUGUCCUUCCUCCCUGGCUCUCCCACCUCUCUUUCGGGAGUUUUGUGCAAACACUGACUGGAUCCCUGACCUGGAGGAUCUUUAUUUAUGAAUUUGUUCUAAUGAUAAUCCAGCAUAUUCCCCAAGUAUCGCUCCACAAAUGUCCAGAGGAUUUCUCAGUUUCACAAUCUGUGUGUGUUCUUCUGGUUCCUCGCUCACUGCACUUGCUUUCUGUUUGAAAGCUCAGUCUACAGUUGGAGAAUUCAAACAGGAACAUAUCCAGAUCUAACACUCACUUUGUUCAUCACAACUCAAUUACCUCAGGAUUUUGAACACUGAAGGAAAAAGCAGCACUCACAGUGGGGAGAAAUGCACAUGGUCUGUGAAGAUUCAUCUGAAAUGUCCUUACACCAGCUCAGUGACACUGGGGAGAGACCAUUCACCUGCUCUAAAUGUGGGAAGGCAUUCACUCAGUCAUCCAAACUGUUAACACACCCGUGGUUCACAAAGAAGCACAGUUGAAGGAUUUUGCUGUCACUCUCUCACUAUCAAAUGAACCAUGGUUUUGGGCUGUUUGUACUGAUGUUACUGAUCCCUGCUCAAUUAAAGGUACUGGUAUUGUGGAUAAAAUAAUAAUAUCAGUUGUAUAUCUGUAAGUUAGAGCUUGGAAAUAGUCACGUUGUCAUGACACAUCGACACAUUCACACUGACGAAAGACUAUCCACCCGCACGGUAUGUGAAAAGGGAUUUCCUGGUUCAUCAGGACUGGUUAACUAUCAGCAAAUUUAUGAGUAACUGUUAGGUUGGUUUUUGAUUCUGCUGCUAGCUAUAUCCAAACCAUGUUUUUUGGGCUUGUUUCUGGAGACCACAGGAUUCCCUCCGGUGUGGAAGCAGACCAUUUAUCCCAUCAAGUCCACUCUGAGCUUACGAAGCGUGUCCGACCCAGACCCUGCCUGCGUGGGUUUCCUCCAGGUGCUCCAGUUUCCUCCCACAGUCCAAAAAAUGUGCAAAUUGGGUAGAUUGACAAUGCUAAAUUGCCCCUAGUGUCACGGGUGCAAAAUGCAGGGACAGAGUAGGGUGAGAGACUGGGUGGGAUGCUCUUUGGAGGGUUUGUGUGGACUCAAUGGACUGAAUGGCCAUCUUCCACACUGUAGGAAUUCUAUGAUGAUCCCGAUGGCUCUUUAUUUGUUAGUUAUGCCUGGUCAAUACGUCUGCACACCUUUACAAUUACAGAUUCUCUUGCUCUCC